UUUUUUUUGGUAUAAAAAAAGAAUCUCUUAAUGGAGAGAUUGCAAUGCAAUAUUGAAUACAAAUACAUUUUCAUUUCAUUUUUCACAAAAAAGAAGGGAAGAAAAAAAUAAGGAAUGAUACAAUUUUCUGUGGAAGAAAUCUACACAAUAAAGGGUAGGGGGAAAGAGAAGGUUAAAAACCCACCCAAGAAACAAAAAUACUGUGUAACACUGUUUUCGAUUAAAAAGAGAGCGUGUAGGAGUGCUAUUUAAGUGUUACAUGUUUCUUGCGUCCUCUGUGGUCACCAAGUAUCAAGAAGAAAGAGUUUUCUACUUUCAAACUAACUCCAUCAGAAGUGGAUCUCCUUCUGCCAUUAUUCUGAUAAGCUUUAUGAAGUCUUGCUCACUCGAUACGCUCCAUGGAUGAACAGCAGGAACUUUGGCAGUAUAAAGAGUGGUGGAAUUAGCAGGAGGAUUUUGCUUGUAGAUCAUUGAAUCAAGAACAGGGUCAAAAUUCUGAGUAGAAUCUAGGGACACAAAGAACAUAGGAAUUGCAACCUUCUGAUGAAUCUCUAGAUUGCCCACAAGGCUAACAAGCUCAACAAAAUCACUGAUCAAUCGCUGAGGAACAUAAAACACCUCAGAACUGCAUAAUACGAGGUUCUUGUCAUUGUCACUUGUUUCUUUGUAGCUCACUUGAAAGUGUGCUGGCAUCGUGCUAACAACCUUCUGUACCAUGCUUGCUUGUUGUGAUAACCAAUCUGAACUGUCACCAUUGGUUAUUACAGAAGACCAAGAUUCCGACACCUGAAUCCCAGUAACUUUGUUAAUGCUCAGAGAGAAAAGGGCUUGCACCAUCUUUUAAGAGUUAAAGCCAUGCUUCAAAGUAAAUUGACUAAGAGUGGAAGAAAUAGCAUAAAAUAUUUUCACACUAACAUUAUCCUGAAUGAAUAUGAAUGUAAUAUCACCAACAGUAUGAUAGGAUAAUAGAGUGGAACUGUGAAAAACUUCACAGCAACAACAAAUUAAAGAGUAACUAGUCCUUAACUGUAGGUGUUUGUCAGUUUAGUAUUUGACUACACAAAAUCCUCCCUUUCUAGUACUUGACUUAACAAAAUGUCAUUUGUUAUGGACAAAUCUAACUUUCUGCGGAUUAGCUAAUACAUUAAGUUAUGGACAAUUUUAUUUUGGUUUUUCUUCCCCUUUUCUUAUCCUACAAGUGUUUGUUCAAAAGUUCCUCGAGUCAGACCAAUGCUUACUACUGUUUUACAGAUUGGAAUGAGGUUUGCUACUCUAGAUUAAAACUGUUUUCUUGCAAUAUUAGUGCAUGCAUUUGUAACAGGGGUCAAUAAGCCCUUAUAAUAUCAAUUUGGGAGGAUUUAGAAUGGGUGGAGUUUCAAUCAUGAAGAAGUAAGAAUCCACACUUGGGGUGAGAGGAACAAAAUAACAAUACCUUAUUAGUGAUCCACAGUUUAGUUUUAUCUGCUUGUAGUAAGUUCCAGUAAUUAAGAAUGGUAUUAUCCUGUACGAACAAAAAUCCUUCUGCACUGCUAAAUUGCUCAAAAAUCUUGGGUAGGUACCUGAAAUCAGGCGAUGGAUAAAAUUAAAAUCAUAUGAAGAAGAAAACAGGAUAACAAACCUCUACAAUAAGUGAUAUUUCUAACUUUCCCCUUCCAAAAGCUUCCAUUGUCAACACAGGCUACAAAACACCUCUCACACUACUACUAACAUGUUUAAAGUGAAGGAAAGUUCUGUUUCUGCUGUGAUAUAAGCAAUUUAACUGCAUUUUACUUCACCAAACAGCCAAUGACCCAAAGCAAUUACUUGAGAUGAUUUCAUAUUUUUUUUUUAACAAACUUCAGUCUUUUAUUGCCUCUCAAUCCUUACUCUUACUGAUAAAAGAGAACCAUCUCAGGUAAUCAUCAAAGCCUAGUAUUUAGAUUCAGAAACAAUUGCAAAAAUUUACAAGUCACCAAUUAUAAUUUAGCAAUAGAAAGAAAUGUAAAACAUAACCAGACA
rnacentral:sRNA from 1 species